AUGAUUUAUCAUUUGGACAGUGGCAGACUGGUGAGUAACGCGUGGAUAAUCUGCCCCGAAGAUGAGGAUAGCUCGCCGAAAGGUGAGGUAAUCCUCAAUGGUGUGGGAAGUACAUAUGUACAUCCCACUAAAGCUUUAGCGCUUCGGGAUGAGUCUGCGUCCUAUCAGCUUGUUGGUAGAGUAAAGGUCUACCAAGGCUAAGACGGGUAACUGGUCUGAGAGGAUGGUCAGUCACAGUGGCACUGAAACACGGGCCACACUCCUACGGGAGGCAGCAAUUAGGAAUCUUGCACAAUGGAGGAAACUCUGAUGCAGCGACACCGCGUGAAGGAUGAAGACCCUCGGGUUGUAAACUUCUUUUAUAAUCUAACAAGUUCUGAGUGGAGUAUGAAUAAGCACCUGCUAACUGCGUGCCAGAAGCAUCGGUGAAGCGUGGGGUGCGAGCGUUAUCCGGAUUUAUUGGGCGUAAAGAGAUGCGUAGGCGUUUUGGUAAGUCUUCUGUCAAAGCCUUCGGCCUAACCGAAGAAAGGCAGAGGAUACUAUCAGAAUUGAGACAGAGAGGGGGAAGUGGAAUUCCCGGUGGAGCGGUGAAAUGCGUUGAUAUCGGGAGGAACACCAGUGGCGAAGGCAACUUCCUGGCUCUGUUCUGACGCUGAGGCUCGAAAGCGUGGAGAGCAAAGCGGAUUAGAUACCCGUGUAGUCCAUGCUGUAAACGUUGGAUACUGGACGUUUGGUUC
rnacentral:rRNA from 1 species